rnacentral:rRNA from 1 species
CAGCUGUAAACGAUGCAGACUAGGUGUUUGGACGGCCACGUGCCGUUCUAGUGCCGCAGGGAAGCUGUUAAGUCUGCCGCCUGGGGAGUACGAUCGCAAGAUUGAAACUUAAAGGAAUUGGCGGGGGAGCACCACAAGGGGUGAAGCUUGCGGUUUAAUUGGAGUCAACGCCGGAAAUCUUACCGGGACCGACAGCAACAUGAAGGCCAAGCUGAAGACUUUGCCGGAUUAGCUGAGAGGAGGUGCAUGGCGGUAGUCGUGU